UUCUCUUCUUUCUCACAAUCGACGGUUUCUCUCAUUGUUUCUUCUUCCUCCUUCCAUGGAGGUUCCUCCAUUAUCUCUAUUCAAUUCUACAUAUUUUACAUGGUAUCAGAGACAAAAGCUUCCGCAAUCUCUCUCUGAUUUCUCUCAUAUCUCGAUCUUCUCCGAUCGAUCUUCUCCUAUCGCGAUGAACAAUCGCAAUCGAGCCUUAUCUCCCGAUCUAUUUCCUUUUUUGUUCAUGAUGAACAAUCGUGGUGAUUUGUUGCCGGAGAGUUCUCCGAUCGACUGACCGCCGGCAAAAAAGUGUUCGAUCUCCUCUCAGUUUUCUCUCUUCUCUCUUCUCUCUCUGUUUUUUUCAUUUUAUUUUUUGAAUCGGUUGAUUUGAAUCUCCGAUCUGAAUUUUUUUUUCUCAUUAAAAUUUUCUCUAUUCUCACAGAUUGAAAUAAGAUUCUAUGAAUCUGAAAUAUCAAAUCUGUUUCUCAAUUUUAAAUCUCCGAUUGAAUUCGGUUUUCUCUAUUCUCACAGAUUGAAAUAGGAUUCUAUGAAUCUGAAAUAUCAAUUCUGUUUCUCAAUUUUAAUCUCCGAUUAAAUUUUGGUUUUCUCAGUUCUCAAAGAUUGAAAUAAGAUUCUAUGAAUCUGAAAUAUCAAUCUCAAUCUCUGUUCUCUCAUUGAAUCUCUCAGUUUUGUGUUUCUCUCCUUUUAGUCACCGAUUUUAAUCGGUUGGUUCUAGUUUUAGUCUUUAUUAAAUCUCAAAUUUGUUGUGUAUCCAGUCUAUCUCGGUUCAUCCUUCUCUGAUCCAAUAGACCAGAUUGUCUUCACUGAUUAUUGUCAGUUUUGAUAGUCUAUGACAGAGCGUGAUUCUCUCUAUACUUGGUUUGAAAUGUGUUUUUGCUCUUGAUUGAGAUUUUUGCAUCAUAGCCGAAUUUGUUGUUGUUUUUGCCGAGGAUAAAUACUUUCUAUCCUAUGCUCUGAUGUGGUGCUGUUCGUAGUCAAUCGGUGUUGCGAUGAAGAUCAAGAUGUUGGAAAAUAAAGUGUAAUUAGGUUUUAGUUUGUUGAUCAUUUUGAUGCUCCUUUUGUAGUUUAAGUUCUUGUCAAGAUGUAGCAAUUGUUUGCUUCCAUCUUGAGGGAGGCUAUUAGAAUUGGAAAAUAAAGUGUAAUUAGGUUUUAGUUUAGUCUUUAUUUUCUGCCUAUAUAAAAGGCAUUUUAUUGUAAAUUGUAGUCAACAGUUCCAAAAUGUAGUCAAUAAAGAAAUUCUCCCUUUUCUCUUCUUUCUCACAA